GUGGGCUUGCUGACUGCGGCUGGCAGGCUGCGGCUGGCAGGCUGUGGCUUGCUGGCUGUAAGCCUGUGGCUUGCUGUAGGCCUGUGGGCUGGCUACUGGCCUGUGGGCUGGCUAACUGGCUGGCUACUGGGGCACUUGUAGAUUAUUUAAAGAAAUAAUCCAUGCACAAUAACCACUACUGCUCCAGAGUAAGUAGUCAAACCGUU